UACGUAGGGUGCAAGCGUUAAUCGGAAUUACUGGGCGUAAAGCGUGCGCAGGCGGUUAUGUAAGACAGGUGUGAAAUCCCCCGGGCUUAACCUGGGAACUGCAUUUGUGACUGCAUAGCUAGAGUACGGUAGAGGGGGAUGGAAUUCCGCGUGUAGCAGUGAAAUGCGUAGAUAUGCGGAGGAACACCGAUGGCGAAGGCAAUCCCCUGGACCUGUACUGACGCUCAUGCACGAAAGCGUGGGGGACAAACAGG
rnacentral:rRNA from 1 species